GACGAACGCUGGCGGCGUGCUUAACACAUGCAAGUCGAACGGAAAGGCCCUGCUUUUGUGGGGUGCUCGAGUGGCGAACGGGUGAGUAACACGUGAGUAACCUGCCCUUGACUUUGUGAUAACUUCAGGAAACUGGGGCUAAUACCGGAUAGGAGCUCCUGCUGCAUGGUGGGGGUUGGAAAGUUUCGGCGGUUGGGGAUGGACUCGCGGCUUAUCAGCUUGUUUGUGGGGUAUUGGCUUACCAAGGCUUUGACGGGUAGCAGGCCUGAGAGGGUGACCGGCGACAUUGGGACUGAGAUACGGCCCAGACUGCAACGGGAGGCAGCAGUGGGGAAUAGUGCACAAUGGGCGGAAGCCUGAGGCAGCAACGCCGCGUGCGGGAUGACGGCCUUCGGGUUGUAAACAGAUUUGGACUGUGACGAAGAGUGAGUGACGGUAAUGGGUAAAGAAGCACCGGCUAACUACGUG
rnacentral:rRNA from 1 species